rnacentral:rRNA from 1 species
UACGGAGGGGGCGAGCGUUAUUCGGAAUUAUUGGGCGUAAAGGGCGCGUAGGUGGCCUUUUGAGUCAGACGUGAAAUCCCCCGGCUUAACCUGGGAACUGCGUCUGAUACUGGAAGGCUUGAGUUCGGGAGAGGGAUGUGGAAUUCCAGGUGUAGCGGUGAAAUGCGUAGAUAUCUGGAGGAACACCGGUGGCGAAGGCGGCAUCCUGGACCGAAACUGACACUGAGGCGCGAAAGCCAGGGGAGCAAACGGG